GCAUAUUCAAUAAGCGGAGGAAAAGAAACCAACAGGGGAUUGCCCCAGUAACGGCGAAGUGAAGCGGCAAGAAGCUCAAAUUUGAAAUCUGGCCUCCCCCGGGGGCCCGAGUUGUAAUUUGCAGAGGAUGCUUCGGGUGCGGCCGCCGUCUAAGUUCCUUGGAACAGGACGUCAGAGAGGGUGAGAAUCCCGUCUUGGGCGGGCGGUCCGCGCCCGUGUGAAGCUCCUUCGACGAGUCGAGUUGUUUGGGAAUGCAGCUCUAAGCGGGUGGUAAAUUUCAUCUAAAGCUAAAUAUUGGCCGGAGACCGAUAGCGCACAAGUAGAGUGAUCGAAAGGUUAAAAGCACCUUGAAAAGGGAGUUAAACAGCACGUGAAAUUGUUGAAAGGGAAGCGCUUGCGGCCAGACUCGGGGGCGGGGUUCAGCGGGUGCUCGUCGCCCGUGUAUUCCUCGUCUCCCGGGCCAGCAUCAGUUUCGACGGCCGGUCAAAGGCCCCCGGAAUGUGUCGUCUCUCGGGACGUCUUAUAGCCGGGGGUGCAAUGCGGCCCGUCGGGACUGAGGAACGCGCUCCGGCUCGGAUGCUGGCGUAAUGGCCGUAAGCGGCCCGUCUUGAAACACGGACCAAGGAGUCUAACAUCCACGCGAGUGUUCGGGUGUCAAACCCGUGCGCGCAGUGAAAGCGAACGGAGGUGGGAGCCUUAGGGCGCACCAUCGACCGAUCCUGAAGUCUUCGGAUGGAUUUGAGUAGGAGCGUGGCCGUUGGGACCCGAAAGAUGGUGAACUAUGCCUGAAUAGGGUGAAGCCAGAGGAAACUCUGGUGGAGGCUCGCAGCGGUUUCUGACGUGCAAAUCGAUCGUCAAAUUUGGGCAUAAGGGGCGAAAAGACUAAUCGAACCAUCUAGUAGCUGGUUCUUGCCGA
rnacentral:rRNA from 1 species